rnacentral:SRP_RNA from 1 species
GCCGGGCGCGGUGGCGCACGCCUGUAGUCCCAGCUACUCGGGAGGCUGAGACAGGAGGAUCGCUUGAGUCCAGGAGUUCUGGGCUGUAGUGCACUAUGCCGAUCGGGUGUCCGCACUAAGUUCGGCAUCAAUAUGGUGACCUCCCGGGAGCGGGGGACCACCAGGUUGCCUAAGGAGGGGUGAACCGGCCCAGGUCGGAAACGGAGCAGGUCAAGUUGUGGAUGUUUUGAGCUAUCCUAUUCAUUCUCAACAUGUGAGCUGGAUGUCUCAUAGGACUCA